UCCAGACUUCGGUGCGGACGUCUGGGUUGCGGCGCGCCUUCCAGAUUCCGGUGCGGACGUCUGGGUUGCGGCGUGCCUUCCAGACUCCGGUGCGGACGUCUUGGUUGCAGCGCGCCUUCCAGACUCCGGUGCGGACGUCUUGGUUGCAGCGCGCCUUCCAGUCUCCGGUGCGGACGUCUGGGUUGCGGCGCACCUUCCAGACUCUGGUUAUGGAGAUCACUCACCGGUAGCUCUGGCAUGCUUCUCGGUUUGACCUUGUGCAUAUCGCUCGCUGCGGCGAGUUAUCCGUGGAGGGAAUCUGUCGCUAUUGGAAAUCGAUAUCGAACGACUCGUCUCUCAGCACAUGUCCUGACGCGUACUCAGUUUUUAAAUAUUUUCUUCUAUCAACGAUUUUCUCAUCUCACUCGCGUUGUGGGAUAGCGUGUGAUGGGAUACUUUUCUCCAAAUAAUCUCGGUUUCCGCUGAGUAUUUACAGUAUCUCUGAGAUUAUUUUGAGUUUAGCGCUUCCUGGAACUUACUUGAACCUAGUGAGCUCAGUGUUGUGAGAUAAAGUACAAAGUUUCUAUAAAGUUAUGACGUGCAAUGAAAUAAUAUUGUAAAUUUUCAAUAAAUUUUCCCAUGUAUUCUUUCUUGGGCCGUUGACUUAUUCACAGGUUAUGGCAGUGCAUUCGGUUGUCACGCAAGAUUUGCGCCUUGGCGCGAAUGAAAAUAAUUUUCCAUCACAUGCAACUGAUGCGUCCCCCACAUGACGCUUUGAAGCGACUUACUCCUUGUAGACGGAACUCGUCAGCAAACCUCUACAAUCUCCGCACUCCGCAUUGGUUCUUCAAUGAUGUCAAGAUCGCAGUGUCUACAUCUCGCACAGUCAGCUUAGUAUCAUUGGCUGCCGUGGUUUGAUAUUCCUGCAUCAAUCCUAAUAAUGGAACCUAACUUGAAGAAAAUAGUUUAUUUCAACGUAUUGAAAUUGUUAAUUGCAUAUGUGGAGGGGUUUAAGUGUAAAAUCACAUGCUUUAACAAUGGUCUGACAAGAUUUUAUCGUUAUAUCUCUCUGUUGCAUAGGCAUCCGAUUUUUUUCAAAUAUAAACCCGUUGUACCGUAAUGUGGCAGUGACUGUUAGUUAAUGUAACAACUAUGGACUUGUAGUCGUAUCUGCUACGGGUUGCGAUUUUUUUUCUCGCAUUGCCGUACCUAUUUUUAUGAAGUUCGUUACUUUGCUCUUCAGGAAUAAUGCGGCUUCGAACUCCGAGUACGUUAUUGGAGGCUCCGAAUGACCCGUUUGCAUCUCUUGCUUUGAAAAAAAAAAAAACUAUUUUGGUGUCCAGCAACGUCGACUUCGCCGAUUAUCAUUGAAGAUAGACAUUAGCAGGCUAUUGUGGUCUGGUCGUAUUCCAUAAUCAGGACUGGUCGUUGGCUGCGCAAGCAUCUAGAAUCGCAACGGCUACAAAAGUUUCCAGGAAGUUUUUCCUCUCAGAUAUUGAUACAAUAAAAAAUAUUUUUGUUUGUCAUAUCCGGUUGCUAGCUUACCUUUCUUUGCUAGCUUAGAAGUUGCCUCUAUAUCGAUAGCUAAUAACUGCAUUUGAUUCUGUUUCUCCUGUCCUUUUCCCUUUCGCAGAAAUCGUUGCGCACGUCAAAAGGACUGAAAUUGUGUGUUGCUUGUCUGGUAACACUGGGCUGCGCUGUGUUCAGGACUGUCACGCUUACAACGAGAAAUUUAACAUUAAUCGUCUUUCAUGAAACUGAAGCUAAUCGGAAGAGCUUUCUCUUAAUCAUGUUUCGGACACUCAUCGCUGAACUCUCACCGGACGUGUAAAAAAUUUUUCGUCUCAAGUAUUCUAUACUGUAGCUGCUCAUCUUCAGCACUCUUCCAUGGCUGAACAUUUAACGACGAAUUUCCAAUUGUAAACCUUGAAAUAAUCAUUUUUUUUUUUGUAACGAUAUCGUUGCUCCUGUUUUCAAAGUAUUGGGACUUUAAUUCAUAUUACGUCUUCUACCAUCGCCAUUCCGUUGAAGUCUGGGUCGCUUAAUUACUGUUGAACAAUUUUUUUCGAGUUUCUUAUUAUGCAGUUCGAAGUCGUGCCAUCGUCGCUUCAACCAUCUAGAAGUGCUCUUCCUGCUGCAGUCUAUUUUAACUGGUGCCAGUGACGACGUUUGGAAAACACAGCUGAACGUUUCGUAAUUGCUCAAUAUCAUAGCAUUAAUUUCAAUGACGUGAAAUUUGAAAUGAUCGAUGUAUGAACGCGAACUGUGUAAAUGGCAGCAGUGUAGUUUUUUUAUUAUCAAUUUUAUUAUUGUUAAUUUGCAUGUCAUUACAUAUACCUACCAGAUGAUGCGCGAUGAAGGAUCACCUGCUAGUAAUGCGGCUCAAGUUCAGAGGGAAAACGAUGCAUUCUACACUGGUUAUCUGCAACGAAAAUUUCUUAACAGGAUGCGGUUUCUUACAUGGGAUGCGAGACUGUGAGAAGAUGCUCGUGACGAAGUUGCGCUGAUGGUGAACUGUUAUUCCUGGCAAACUGCGACCACUGAUGGAGGUGGUGCCUAGAGGCUUCUAACUGGCUGCUGCUGGCGCUGUGGAGAUGCUCUUGACUGGCUGCUGCAGCUACAGGUGCUGCAGUGAACGACUGACAUUGCGAGGAAAUCCGCCUACUGUAUUAUCGGUGACCUCGUUUGAUGAGUAAAGAGAAUGAUGAGUUCUAUAAA
rnacentral:lncRNA from 1 species